GAUGAAAUAGUUCAAUUGGUAGAGCGUUGGAAUCAUAAUCCUAAAGUUUUAGGUUCAAGUCCUAUCAUCAUUA
rnacentral:tRNA from 1 species